rnacentral:rRNA from 1 species
CCUACGGGUGGCAGCAGUGGGGAAUAUUGCACAAUGGGGGCAACCCUGAUGCAGCGACGCAGCGUGCGUGAAGAAGGAUUUCGGUAUGUUAAGCUCUAUCAGCAGGGAAGAAGCAUGACGGUACCUGACUAAGAAGCCCCUGCUAACUACGUGCCAGCAGCCGCGGUAAUACGCAGGGGGCAAGCGUUAUCCGGAUUUACUGGGUGUAAAGGGAGCGUAGACGGUAUGGCAAGUCUGAAGUGAAAGCCCAGGGCUUAACCCUGGGACCGCUUUGGAAACUGUUAGACUAGAGUGCUGGAGAGGUAAGUGGAAUUCCUGGUGUAGCGGUGAAAUGCGUAGAUAUGAGGAGGAACACCAGUGGCGAAGGCGGCUUACUGGACAGUAACUGACGUUGAGGCUCGAAGGCGUGGGGAGCAAACAGGAUUAGAUACCCUAGUAGUC